rnacentral:rRNA from 1 species
AUUGAACGCUGGCGGCAGGCCUAACACAUGCAAGUCGAACGGUAACAGGAAGCAGCUUGCUGCUUCGCUGACGAGUGGCGGACGGGUGAGUAAUGUCUGGGAAACUGCCUGAUGGAGGGGGAUAACUACUGGAAACGGUAGCUAAUACCGCAUAACGUCGCAAGACCAAAGAGGGGGACCUUCGGGCCUCUUGCCAUCGGAUGUGCCCAGAUGGGAUUAGCAAGUAGGUGGGGUAACGGCUCACCUAGGCGACGAUCCCUAGCUGGUCUGAGAGGAUGACCAGCCAGACUGGAACUGAGACACGGUCCAGACUCCUACGGGAGGCAGCAGUGGGGAAUAUUGCACAAUGGGCGCAAGCCUGAUGCAGCCAUGCCGCGUGUAUGAAGAAGGCCUUCGGGUUGUAAAGUACUUUCAGCGGGGAGGAAGGGAGUAAAGUUAAUACCUUUGCUCAUUGACGUUACCCGCAGAAGAAGCACCGGCUAACUCCGUGCCAGCAGCCGCCGUAAAAC